rnacentral:misc_RNA from 1 species
AAAAAACUAUAUAUAUAUAUAUAUUUCAUUGGUAAUUGGAUAACAAAAACCAAAAACAAAAUGGAAACUAAACAUGCAAGGUUCAUGUUGUGCUGCACUUGAUUAUCAGUCAUUCAGUCUCCUUGCAACUCCAUGAGAAUAGACAACCAACAGGGAAAAUUGAUUACCCUGAUGGAUAUAUGCCUCAUGCUUUAAUUACUUAUCCAAAUUUUCUCAUUUUUUGAUGUCAUAUUGCAGGAGUAAAUGAAUCGGAAGAUCACG